GUCUCUUCAGAGACAUAAUAAGCUUGGAACAAUAUAUAGAAUAUUAGCAUGGCCCUGCACAAGGAUGACGUGCACAAGCUGGAAGGAAAAAAACGGUAG